rnacentral:sRNA from 1 species
AUCUAGCCCCGAUGGGAGUGGAAAUCCUUUUUUUGCUUUAUUUCGACAAGCUCAGCAUGACAAAACUUUAAAAAAAAUUGUAGCGGACAGCGGGACUGAUA